rnacentral:miRNA from 1 species
AUGGAACUAAUUACCUAAG